GGACUUUUGUCUUGGGGCUCACAGUAUUUUACCCCCUUCAGGGAGGUGGCUGGUUGUAGUUUAGCAAAACAGCCACUGACAUCGCUGCUCCUUCAGCCUCUGCAGACAGAGCUGCAAGAUCCUCGAGGCCUUUUUAAUCCCCAGAAACAAGGUGUUAAAACAGACCAAAAUGUGUUCUCCCGCCCAGAAGCAAGCAAAGCCAACCCCAGCUGCAGUUCCCUGACAGUCCAGUGAAUUCAGCCAAAGGAAAUGGCCCCACAUGGAGGGCAAGUGACAGAAGACCUGAUGACUCCGGUGGCUCAGCGGAGAGUGCAUUAAUAGGCUUGACCACUUCUGCUCGAUCUUCAGGCAAGCUGGGUCUGACCCCUGGACACUGUCCCCUGGAGCCCCUGGCCUCCACGUGUCCACCCACUGCCAUGGUCAUGGCUCCUCAGCAGGAGGAGGCCCAGCAGCCUCCAGGUGCCCCUGCCUGGUGCUAGCUGCCCACCGAAGCUCUAGCCUCACACUCUCAGGUUCAAAUCCAGCGACAAGAGCGGAUCCCACAAAGGCCACGAGAGUCACCCUAAACGGUCAGCUUAGGUCCUUCGUUCACUGAGCCCAUCGCUGUCCAGGGCAAGUGGUGCUGGCUGGGCUAGGUCCAGCUCCCGUGUCCACCCUGGGACCUGAGGUUCAGGGUCAGCUCACCCUAGACACAUGGAUCGAGUGGGGAGGGUGAAUCCUCAAAUGCUAAUCAGGUUCUGUUGUACAGAAGGGGAAGCGGAGGCAGGAGGAUGCAGCAAGACCUGUUCCCUCCUCUAACGGCACUCAUAGGACAGCCCAGCCACACAUUCAAAGAAUCUUGAAGGAAUAGGAUGGUUGGUAUGGUUGGUGUGGAAGAAGGUUCAUAAAUUCUGGAUUUAGCUUUGUGGGAUUCAGCUGACCUGAAAUUUAUACCUGUGCAGGUAGGUGGUUGCUGGGUAGGGUGACCACUACUGUCUCUCUCCAUCACCCAGGGCUGUUUUCAGCUCAAAGCCACAGAAGCCCAGGCAUGGUGGCAUCUCCGGGGGAAGUUGCCUUAUUCCAGAUUCACAGGUCCGGGGCGAAGGGGCCAGGCAGGGCAGGUGUGGGGCGGCAGGAUAUCGCCCUGGGCCUGGCUCCUUCUGCCUUUCUGCCACCAUCUUCAGCGGUGCCAUUACCUCGAGGCCUUCUGUGGUUGCUGGAGCUGCCACGCUCGGCCUCCUGUCUGCCUCCAGAUGGGAGAGGAGGAAGGAGGAGGUGAGAGCAGGAAAGAGCUUACAUAAAAGACCACAUUUUCCCAGAAUCCCCAGCAGCUGCCUGUUCUCCCCCUCCACUGGGCUAGAGCUGUGUCACACAGGCUGAGCGGCCAGGAAGCUGGGCACCAUCCAGGGAGUGUGUGAUCGUCGGGGUCCUGUUGAUUCCUGCUUUUGAGUAAUGAAGGUGACCAAACCACAUGACCCUGUCUGCAAAGAUUCCACCUGGACUCCCAGUUCCUCCAAGGAACCGUCAUGUGGUUCAAAUCCAAUGAAAUUCUCUAAAUCUCCACCCUCCUCAGGGUGCAGAGUUGGCUGCUUCUCUGUGCCCCCUGCUGAUCACGGCAACCCCUGGGUGCCUCGGCCUGCGAAGCCCCAGCUGUCCUCCGUCUGCAGACAAGCCGAGGUAUGAAAGCCUCCUCGCUGGCCCAGGAGCCUGUCAUUGUCCUCCAGCAGCUCUAGCCUGGAUGCGGUCCCAGAGAUAAAUCAUAUCUCUUUAAAAAGCCACAGUGGCCCAUUAUUUCUGCUUGAAAAUACCCCUGGCUCUCUGCUGGUGAGCUGGUUGACAGGCCCCGGCUGUUGUGCUCAGUGCUGCAAAGAGUCACGUCAGUCUGUCGACUUGUGUAGUGAGCAAGCUGGUAGCUUCAGAUGGUAUGCACAUGAAAUCCCGUCCUGGCAUCCAGGACUUGGCUGGGGGUUGCAGAGAGAACCACAUCUGCAAAAGAGUUGGUAUUUUACAGUCCCAGCCUCACGUCCUUGUGAAAUGCCCUGUUCAUACUGGGCUACAGGGGCGGGAGCAAAAAUGAUACAAUGACAAUUCCUGGGCUGUGUUCUGCAAUAUUCUACAACACUUCCACAAGAAAACUCCAAUCUUUAAAAAUAGACUGAGCACAAUUAAACAAUCACUAUAGAUAUUUCUUUUCUUUUUUUUUUUUUUGAGAUGGAGUCUCACUCUGUCGCCCAGGCUGGAGUGCAGUGGCGCGAUCUCUGCUCACUGCAAGCUCCGCCUCCCGGGUUCACGCCAUUCUCCUGCCUCAGCCACCCGAGUAGCUGGGACUACAGGCGCCCACCACCACGCCCGGCUAAUUUUUUUGUAUUUUUAGUAGAGACGGGGUUUCACUGUGUUAGCCAGGAUGGUCUCGAUCUCCUGACCUCAUGAUCCACCCGCCUCGGCCUCCCAAAGUGCUGGGAUUACAGGCGUGAGCCGCCGCGCCCGGCCCACUAUAGAUAUUUCAACCAGAGGAAUAUAGUGAAUCAUGAUCUACCCAUCACCCAGGUUCAACAGCUCUCAGGGUUUGCCCCCUUCCUUCCAGCUCUUUCCCCUCUUUCUGCCAAAUUAUUUUAAAGCAAAUCCCAGACCUCAAGUGGACAUUUUCUAACAAAGUUGCAAUAUCCUAAACAUCUCCGAUGUUCAAAUUCCCCCAGGUGUUGCUCAGAUAUUUUUUUCUGGUUGCUUUUCCAGAAAUUCAACAAGGACCACACGGCAUUUGGUUGUUAAGUUUCUAACUUCUCUUUGGUUGACAGUGAUCCCCUCUCCUUCAUUUUACUUUUAAUGCCACUGCUUGUUGAAUUCCUGGGAGCAGUUGCUCUGUGGGAUGCCCCACAUCCAGGAUUUGUCAGUCUGCUGCCUCAUGGUGUCAUUUCAAUUCCUUCUGCAGAUGGAUGCCGCUGGACAUCCUUGCCAAGGUGUGUCAGUUUCAAUUAAACCCAGAAUGGGGUGUUGGAGCUCAAAGGAGCCAUUGUCAAGCCAUUGCCUGAGCAAAGGAAGGUGUUUUUUUUUUUUUUUCUUCCUGUCGCCCAGGCUGGAGUGCAGUGGUAUGAUCUCGGCUCACUGCAACCUCUGCCUCCUGGGUUCAAGCAAUUCUCCUGCCUCAGCCUUUUGAGUAGCUGGGAUUACAGGCAUGUGCCACCAUGCUCAGCUAAUUUUUGUAUUUUUUUAGUAGAGAUGGGGUUUCACCAUGUUGGUCAGGCUGGUCUCAAACUCCUGACCUCGUGAUUUGCCUGCCGUGGCCUCCCAAAGUGCUGGGAUUGCAGGUGUGAGCCACCGUGCCUGGCCUGUGUUUUAAGAUGAUUUCCUGGAUUCUUGUUGAACUACCAAGGCAGGUGUUUGCUCCCAGGCUUCACCAUCAAAUUCCCUAACGGCUGUGUUCUGGGUUGAGUCACUUUAAUGAGCUGCCCUGCCGUUCCCAGGUGAGAUGUCAAUUAGAAUUUGCAAUCCCAAUACCAGGGCCACGUUCUCACCACCUGAAGAAACCCUAACAGUCGAGACAGAAUGAAUGAAGGACAGAUCAAUGGGCUGGGUCUGUACAAGCACACCCAUAGGGCAACCCAAGGGCACGUUAUUUUGGUCUGAGUUAUCUCCUGAGUCAUGGACAUGAGUCUGGGAAGGUCAAGGUUCGCCUGUUAUCGUUAUGGAAAGACACUGACCUUAUGUGCUGGGCUGUGCCGUGGGCGCCUUCUUAUUACAUCCUCAGAACAGCCUCAGGAUGGCUCAUGAUUCCCUCAAUCACAGAUGAGGACCUGAGGCUCAGGAAAGAUACAUUUGCAUCUUGUAGGUCUGGGUUCAGCCUGGACCCACGGUUUCCAUGCUUGCCCUGACCCUUCAUUCCCUCCAUUCCCUCCCAGCAGCCAGUCAGUGGCUGUCCAGACAUGUGCACCAGCUGUGCUGCACCUCCACCAUAAAAACUCCUCCAAUCACUUCCCACUGCUCCCCAUGUGAACCCCAAGGGGGCUCACCCUGUCCCAGGAGGUUCUGCCUGAUCCACACCCCCCACCCCUUCCUGCAUCCCUGCAACCUGCUCUCCCUACGUCCUCAGUCCUGGCGUCCUCUCUGUUCC
rnacentral:lncRNA from 1 species